rnacentral:lncRNA from 1 species
AGAGACAAGGGGAAAGGCACCAAGCAAGACCCUUCUUGUCGUCAGAAGGAGCAGACCCAUACUGUACUUUUUUGUUGGAUUUCCAGCCUCAGAGUCCCACUCCUACCCUGUUCUGUGCCGGUUAGGGAAGAAGAACUUCUGUUGUGUCCAUGAACAGAGAACAGCAGCGGUCUCUAACUUCCGCACAGGGGAACCUGCAGGUGUUGGAGACAGUGGAAUGGCCUCGGAUGAUGAAUCAGGGAGGCUGUGUCCUCUGCUCUCUGGCCCUCCACCGUUCAUUCUCCUGUCGUGAGGUUUCCGCCAUCUCCUAUGACGAGGAGUCUCAGUCCCCAUACGUAGAGGGAACAUUUCUGUCUGACCCUAGCAAGGAGUCAGGAGACAUGCACAAUGCUGGUCUGACUUGCACCGGGAAUUCUUGUCUACUGUCAUGUUGAGCCCUCGCCUGCCCUCUCUCAGUCCAGCCUGCCAAUCAGGGACCACAGUGGUACCUGCCACAGAACUGCACGCUGCCUGAGUUAGUUCCCAUAGCUGUUAGCAAAGAUCCUCAGUGACCGAGCCCCUUGUUAGAGCUGCCCAGUACCUAAGAGCCGUUGGAAUAAAUACACACUUAUUCUA